CAAAGACCUGCGCUCUAAUUACCAGCAUAAUUAGAAUAAGAACAUGUUGCUCACUCCAGAGGGGCCCGCCCCGCGCCUCUGCUGCUCUGGGAGAAAGCGUGUUUAAGAAUUCCCAUGGAGUUGCAUGGGAGGAAAAGCGACCCCACGCUGAGCUGCCAACGUGGUUGUCAGCGCGCCCCGUGUGAUUUCGUGCCGCUGUUUUCAAUGCGCUAACGAGGCACGUUAUUCUUAGCCGCGUCCGGGAGGGGAUCACAUUCCUGCGCAGUUGCGCUGCUGGCGGAAGUGACUUGUUUUCUAACGACCCUCGUGACAGCCAGAGAAUGUCCGUUUCUCGGAGCGCAGCACAGCCUGUCCCAUCGAGAAGCCUCGGCUUCCCAGAGACCGUGACAAAAGACAUCAUUCUACGCUGCACAAAAGCAGCCAGAGGCGGCCUCUCCCACGCUCCGGGAGCGAAGGGAAUGAUCUGGCUAGAGAGCAGCACUCCAGGGUGACUCCGUCCUGCUGUCUAACCGGCCUCCGGCAGAGUGGCAGAUCAUCUGACUCUCUGAACCACUCUGAACAUCAGUCUCUUCAUCUCUAAAUGAGGGUGCUGGCCGUGUGGAUCCGCAGGGGUAUCCUGAGGUUUGCCACGUACAAAAAGCUUAGGACAGUAAAUACUAAUAGGCUGGUGCAAAAUAAAUUGCGUUUUUGUCACUAAAAAAAAGUAGCAAAACCCGCAAUUAUUUUCCACCAACCUAAUAUUAAAUGUGAGUGACUGGGUCAACUUGAUGCAGCUUUCUGAUCCCUGCUCAACCUGCGACCAGCUUCUAGAAGGACAGGAGUGGCCUGUGGCCGUGGGUCUUAAGGGCAAGAGAACAACAGAGAGAUGUUUCUGGCCCCUCUUGUGUGAAAUGAAGACUUUUUAAUGUGAAUGUAGAAGUAAGUCUUGGGAGCAAAAACAAAAUCAGACCCUGGAGAAUGGCAGAAACUCCAAAGGAGUUGAAUGCUGGAGAACCCCAGGCGAAGUUAAAUCAACUCGACAGA
rnacentral:lncRNA from 1 species